rnacentral:rRNA from 1 species
ACCGGCAGCUCAAGUGGUGGCUAUUAUUAUUGGGCCUAAAGCGUUCGUAGCCGGUUUGAUAAGUCUCUGGUGAAAUCCCGCAGCUUAACUGUGGGACUUGCUGGAGAUACUAUCAGACUUGAGGUCGGGAGAGGUUAGGGGUACUCCCAGGGUAGGGGUGAAAUCCGAGAAUCCUAGGAGGACCACCAGUGGCGAAGGCGCCUAACUGGACCGUACCUGACGGUGAGUAGCGAAAGCCAGGGGCGCGAACCG